AACGAACGCUGGCGGCGUGUUUAAGACAUGCAAGUCGCACGGGGCGGAUGGAGUAGCAAUACGAGAUCCGUUCAGUGGCGCACGGGUGAGUAACACGUGAAUCACAUGCCCUUCAGUGGGGGAUAGCCCAGGGAAACUUGGCUUAAUACCCCAUGGUCUCGCGAGAGUAAAGGAGGCCGCAAGGCUGUCGCUGGAGGAUUGGUUCGCGCCCUAUCAGCUUGUUGGCGGGGUAACGGCCCACCAAGGCUACGACGGGUACCUGGGCUGAGAGGACGAUCAGGCACACUGGAACUGAGACACGGUCCAGACACCUACGGGUGGCAGCAGUCGAGAAUAAUUCACAAUGGGGGCAACCCUGAUGGUGCAACGCCGCGUGGAGGGUGACGGUCUUCGGAUUGUAAACUCCUGUCAUCCGGGAGUAAGACCUGACGGUGAACAGCCGGCAGGGUUGAUAGUACCGGAAGAGGAAGGGACAGCUAACUUCGUGCCAGCCGCCGCCGUAAUAC
rnacentral:rRNA from 1 species